CUUUGUAAGUUAACGCCUCUAUCUUUUUGGGCGUAGUAGAAGUAUAAAAAUGAUGUUUUGAAUGUUGAUCCUUAGACAUUGUGCGGCGACACGUGUCUCCAGAAGCUUCUGUAAUAAAUGGACGUAUAACUACGGUAAUUGCCCUGACUCCCUGUGUUUUAUUCUCCUUUCCAACAAACCAACUCGGGGAAGUGUUAUACUUCAACAAUUUGGGGGCUCGUUCCGGGAUUGGAAAGAGGAGAAGGAAUUCGAUCUUGUCCAGACAACCUACGCGAGAUUCACAGGUUCCGAGCCGGCUCAUGAUAAAGGUAAGCAGAGCCUGUUAUAUCUAAAUCUGCAUAUUGGCUAUGAACUAAAUUUUGAACCUGUGGAAAACGUAUUGGGAGGCUGGUUUAAAUUCAGGGGGUCAGGGGAACGGUCUGUGAGUUAGAGUCUCACUAUAAGUCGGGUUAGAGGCCCGUUACCGGUGUGUGAGUUAGAGUCUCACUGUAAGUCGGGUUAGAGGCCCGUUAAUCGUUCUAGGGUUGACUACCCUACGCCACUUCCCGACGGGGACGGUGGAGAGUUGCGAGUUAGAGUCUCGGCAACCAGUUGGGUUAGAGUCCCGGGGAGUUUUGGAACUCCCCAAAUUCUGUAUCUGGGUUAGAGUCCCGGGGAGGUUUAGAACUCCCCAAAUUCUGUAUUGGGUUAGAGUCCCGGGGAGUUUUAGAACUCCCCAAAUUCUGUAUUGGGUUAGAGUCCCGGGGAGUUUUAGAACUCCCCAAAUUCUGUAUCUGGGUUAGAGUCCCGGGGAGUUUUAUAACUCCCCAAAUUCUGUAUUGGGUUAGAGUCCCGGGGAGUUUUAGAACUCCCCAAAUUCUGUAUCUGGGUUAGAGUCCCGGGGAGUUUUAUAGCUCCCCAAAUUCUGUAUUGGGUUAGAGUCCCGGGGAGUUUUAGAACUCCCCAAAUUCUGUAUUGGGUUAGAGUCCCGGGGAGUUUUAGAACUCCCCAAAUUCUGUAUCUGGGUUAGAGUCCCGGGGAGUUUUAGAACUCCCCAAAUUCUGUAUCUGGGUUAGAGUCCCGGGGAGUUUUAUAACUCCCCAAAUUCUGUAUCUGGGUUAGAGUCCCGGGGAGUUUUAUAGCUCCCCAAAUUCUGUAUCUGGGUUAGAGUCCCGGGGAGUUUUAGAACUCCCCAAAUUCUGUAUCUGGGUUAGAGGCCCGGGGAGUUUUAGAACUCCCCAAAUUCUGUAUCUGGGUUAGAGUCCCAGGGAGGUUUAGAACUCCCCAAAUUCUGUAUCUGGGUUGGAGUCCCGGGGAGUUUUAGAGCUCCCCAAAUUCUGUAUAAGAGAACUGGGUUCAAGUCCCAAAAAGUGUUGGGUCAGGUACCCGUUAAUCAUUUGUUAAUUAUUCUGAGUCCCGGUAACGUAAGUCAGGUUGAAAUGGACGGGAAGUGUGAGAGAGAAGUUGAUGACGAUGGGCGGUGUCCAGGCACUGGGAAGUGGAAACAAUUGGGGAUACAGGUGGCAAAUGUAAUGACUGUUGUAGGCAGGAUGGACCCAAUUCAGAAAGAAAAAGAAGGGAUAGAAGAGAAAUUGCGACAAGUGGUGAGCGAGGCAGGAUUAAGGAUGGAGGAAAGGAGAUCAUUACAUGUUAUUUUGUGGAAUAAGGAGAAGGAGUGUUCUAAAAAUCGAGAUAGAGUUAGAGACAAGAAGGAAACAGCCAAUUUGGU
ensembl:lncRNA